GCCGAUCGAGGCGCUGGUGCGCGCCCACCGCGGCUCGUACCCGAGGCCCGACGCGGCGCUGGUGCUCCGGGCGUUCGAGGUGGCCGACCGGAU
rnacentral:tRNA from 1 species